rnacentral:misc_RNA from 1 species
AGCAGCCCUAAAAAAUCCCUUUGCCGCCACACUCUCCAGCCUGUUCGACUCCAUAGUCAGCAGCAGCCAUGCCGAAGCAUUAUCGGCCUGCUGGGAAGAAAAAAGAAGGAAAUGCUGCAAGAUAUAUUACAAGGUCACAAGCUGUGAAAUAUCUUCAAGUCAGUUUAUCACUGUUCAGGAAGUUAUGCAUUUUGAAAGGUAUUUUCCCCCGUGAACCAAAGAAGAAGGUUAAGGGAAACCACCAUACCUACUAUCACACCAAAGAUAUUUUGUUCCUUAAACAUGAGCCCUUACUUGAGAAGUUCAGAGAAAUGCGAGCAUAUGAGAAGAAGAUUAAGAAAGCAGUCUCAAAGAAGAACCGGGAUCUUGCUGAACGCCUGCUAACUCGCAAGCCCAGUUAUACCCUUGACAUGCUUAUUCGAGAGAGGUACCCUAAAUUCAUUGAUGCACUUAGAGAUUUGGAUGACUGCCUUAGUAUGGUACACUUGUUUGCUGCAUUACCUGCUGUAGAGAGAGAGAAGAUACCGGUAAACCGUGUCCAUAACUGCCGAAGGUUGGGUCAUGAAUGGCAAGCCUACAUUGCUCGCACUCAUAAACUAAGGAAAACAUUUAUAUCCGUGAAAGGAAUAUAUUACCAGGCAGAAAUAGAUGGGCAGAAAAUCACUUGGUUGACUCCACAUGCACUGCAACAAGUACUUCCUGAUGACGUUGACUACAACAUCAUGCUGACUUUCUUGGAAUUUUACGAGACACUCCAAGCUUUUGUUAAUUUCAAGCUUUACCAUUCAAUUAAUGUAAAGUAUCCUCCCAUUCUUGAUCCUCGGCUUGAAGCUUUAGCUGCCGAUCUUUAUGCAUUAUCUAGGUACUUUGAUAACAGAGCCUCCAUGGCAGAGUCAUCAACUACUAGCUUCUCUGAAACUGAUGUGAGUAAGGACCAAGUGGAGGGGCCAAACUAUGACGAAUCUGAACUUAGACUUGCUCAACUGCAACAACAGAUUCCUUCCAAUGAGCCAGGUGCAUUAAUGCACCUUGUUCAAAAUGCUACGGAAACUGACGAAGAUGAUUCUGAUACCAGGGAAUGCAAAACACUUUUCAAGGAUGUCAAGUUCUUCUUGAGUCGUGAGGUUCCCAGAGAGU